GACGAACGCUGGCGGCGUGCUUAACACAUGCAAGUCGAACGAAGUGGCGAACGGGUGAGUAACGCGUAAUCAACCUGCCCUUCAGAGGGGGACAACAGUUGGAAACGACUGCUAAUACCGCAUCCUGAAGGUGGGGAUUGCGCCUGAGUCGCGAGUUGGAGGGGUAACGGCCGACCAAGGCGAUGACCAGUAGCCGGUCUGCAAGGAUGAACGGCGACAUUGGGACUGGUGAACGGCCCAAACUCCUACGGGGGGCAGGAGUGGGGAAUCUUCCGCAAUGGGCGAAAGUCUGACGGAGCAACGCCGCGUGAGUGAUGACGGCCUUCGGGUUGUAAAGCUCUGUUAGUCGGGACGCGGUACCGGAAUAGAAAGCCACGGCUAACUACGUGCCAGCAGCCGCGGUAAUAC
rnacentral:rRNA from 1 species